UCCCUAGUGGCUCAUUUGGUUAAGAAUCUGCCUGCAAUGCGGGAGACCUAGGUUCAAUUCCUGGGUUGGGAA
rnacentral:tRNA from 1 species